UACAGAGGGUGCGAGCGUUGUUCGGAAUUAUUGGGCGUAAAGGGCGCGUAGGCGGUGCGGUAAGUCACCUGUGAAAUCUCCUGGCUCAACUGGGAGCUUGCAGGCGAAACUGCCGUGCUGGAGUGUGGGAGAGGUGCGUGGAAUUCCUGGUGUAGCGGUGAAAUGCGUAGAUAUCAGGAGGAACACCUGUGGUGAAAGCGGCGCACUGGACCACAACUGACGCUGAGGCGCGAAAGCUAGGGGAGCAAACAGG
rnacentral:rRNA from 1 species